AGUUUGAAGAAAGGCCUAAGCUCCUGCAGCACAGGCCAGAAAGGUUGCCAUGUAGUCCUGCAGACAACAGGGACCCCCUCCUACCUUAGAUGUCUGGGUUGGUACAUUUCUCCUUGCUUGGUAUCAACUGCUACACAAGGGGUGGGCCAGGUUCUGUUUGCUGCUGGGCUGGUCUCCGUGGCACACAGACCCAGAAUAGCCUCUGUGGAGGUGAAAUAAAAAUUCAUGGCAUUCCAGCCACAGAGACUAUAUUCCAUACAUAUAUAUUGACAUAUAUAUACCAAUGCCCCAUCUUCUGGGGCAUUGGGCCAGGCUUUAGGAAGUUCAGGCACUCUCUGUCCUUACUGCUCCCAAGGGAAUGGAGAAAGGAAAGGGCUGGGGGUCUUACAAUGGGUCCCCACCGCAGGACAGAGCAAAUACUUUGGCUGCAUCCCAGACUUCCUGGAAUAGGAAGUGGAAUUAGAUUUAACCCUCUGUGGGGUUUAAAAAGACAUCUACUUGUUAAUACCAGCGGCUUUUGCAAGGACUCUGGUAGAGAGAGAGAUGCAUCCCUAUGUGGUAAGCUGGUCAUAAAUAAAUUUAGAUGGGAUUUUAAAAGCAAUUUCUGAGGCUUGAAAGAGAUCAUUCUGGAGUGGCCUUCAAAAGGGAUGGUGGGUGGGAAGGGACAGCCGCUGUUUCAAGAUAGAUCUCAAUAUUAAUGGGAAGGAUUAUUCAUUCAGAGUCUUUCCAGAGGAGGGAGUCCUUGGGUAUCUGAUGUGUUGAAGUGAGACUGGAUUGAUCUUUGUUCGUGCUCUCUUUAGCUUACAUUAAUCCCAUGCCUCAGGGCUUCUGCUUUCCUCCUCAGGGUCCAGCAGGAAAUCCUCAACUCCACUGAUGACUAAUUUGGCUCCUGGGUUUGGUGGUGGUCCUGUCUCUCCGAGGUGAUGGAGAAUGGCCACAGCUGGGAGUACAUCUGAGUACAACAUGUCAGCCAACAGGGAGCACAGGGCUUUAUUUGGCUUCCUUCUUGUGCCUGGAGGCUUCCUCAGAUCUUACCAUUUCCUGAAGUAAUUCCUCUGCUGUUAGAAGGCCCUGGGAAAUUUGCAGAGCUGCUAAUCUUCCCUGUUUGCUUCCCAUGCCACGUUACUGUAGUGGCUUUUGGACUUGCUGGUCCUGCAGCCAGGGUAUAGCCAUGUCUCCAGACCCUUUGGUCUAACAGAAGCACUGGAAUGGAGAUCCUGGGCAGCUCCUGGAAGUACUCAGCUGCCCUUCUGAGCUGUCCUAAGCCUGGGGAGAGGGCAGGCAGCAAAAAGGGGACUUGUUCCUCUACUCUGAGAGCUGGACCAGCAGGAACAGUCCCAUAGCAGCCAUUCUCUUGGCUGCUGGCUGCCAAAGGACUGGGGUAUGUUCAGUGCACCCUAGAGGAUAUCAGUGCUGGAACCUACUUCUGCGGUGCGUCCUGUGUGAGUGAGCUAAGCUGGGCUGAGGGCUCAAAGCCAUGAAUCAUUAAGGCUCUGGCCUGGGAACGGUGUAAACUGGAGCUAUGUGUUUUAGUGGGUGGUGUUUGCUGGGGUCAAGGCUGCGUGGUUUGGCAUUUAGGCUGGCAGCUGGGCACUUGGUUACAGAGCAGGCUUUCUAUUGCAGGGAGCAGAGGAUGGUAUGGGGUCUGAUGUGUGGCUUUAAAGAAAAAGGGACACAUCUCACCACAGCCCUCUUGUUAAUCGUAAACACAUCCUGCCAGUUUGGGAAUGGAUGUCAUAAAUUAAAUGAGGAUUGAGCCAGCAUGGGGCAGGUGUAAGAAGCCCGGAUGAUGAGUGUAGGCCAGGCUUAGCAUCUCCUCCCGCUCACUCCAGACUAUGCAGCAUGACUCUGCUGACUUCAGUGGCAUUUCCUCCUGGCUUGCCUCCUCAUGAUGGGAAUUGGACUGCAUGUAAUUGAAACGGAUGGGGUGUCUGCCAGCACACUGCAAGCCAUGUUCCCCUUGGCAGCUUGAGCUUGUUGAUGGAGGACAGGGGAGACAGGCUGGGGCAGACACCUGCACUGAGGGGAGGUGAGCCUCAGCAUCAUGGGGAUCCCAAAUCCAUCCCCAUCUGAAGCUCUCUGGAUGCAGCCCCCUAUUGCAUAGGGGUUGCCCAUGCCCAGAGGGGGACUGAUGUCUUCAGCUGCUGUUGCAUGAGCAGUAAUUUGCCCUCAUCCGUGAUCUCCCCCUUGCUGGCACCAGGACAGACAUGUGAAUAACUGCUUCUCUGAGCAGCUUUCUGAACCAAGGACUUGAUCUUAAAAGCAUCCUGUGAUCGGGCUGGCUGUGUCUGACCCUGAGCUUUGCAUCACCAUGUUUCUCCCUGCCUGAGCAUCAGUCAAGAGAAGCCAAGGGAGUUAUACGAGGGAUUAAGUCAGGAAUGACCAGACAUGGCCAGAGCUCCAGCCUGGCCACAGUUGCUGGACAAGUGAUCCUGCCUGAGGGAAAUUGAAACCUUACUGGAAAUGAGGAUGUGGUUCUUCCUGCUGGGAUGACUGGAGGACUGCAGGAUGUCACCCCGAGGCAGGACAUCUUUUCUCAGACAAACAGGUACUUUAGGGUCAAUGACAUGUAAAAGCCAAUUCCCUUGGUCACAGGUCUGGCCUUAGGCCAGUCUCACUUUCAAGCUGCAUCUAUGUAGUCUUGCUUCUGGACCCAUGGAAACCUCAAGCGCAGUUGCCAGCACUGCUGUGGCUGUGGGACCUGCACAAAGCUGUCCUGGGAAGCAGCCGAGCCCUCUCUUAGUGUUCAUCUCCAGUAACACCUGUGUCGGGAGGAGGGUGGUGGUGGGAUGUGUUUCUCAUCUGGCUCAGUGAACUGCUACAAAGAGCAGCACGAUGGUGAGCAGUCCUACAGCUGAGACCAGAGCUGGACCCAACAUGGUCACCAUUGCUGCGACAGGGCAUGUGGCUGAGAACCACUCUGGCCACCACCACUGCCACCACUAUGUCACCAUUGAAGGCAUAGCACAUCCCACCUCUUGCCAGCUGCUGGCAUGCAGGAUGUCACACCAUCAGCACGCAGUUGUGCAUUUGCUGUUUUACAAACCUCGGCUGGGUCAUUAACAGAGGAGCGAAAUAAAAAACCAGGGCUCCAAAUGGAUCCCACUGGGAUUCCCUGCAGCAAUUAGCUUGAUACUUGAAAACAUAUUUCCAAUCUUUACUGCUUGCUCUCUGUAUUUGAAAUAAUUUUCUACCCAAUAAACCUUAGU